UCCGCCCACUUCCUCUUGAGUACCAGGAAAUGUUGACAGGGAUGGGACCGUUGCUAUGGUGCAGUUGCCAUGGUAACGUGAUUUAAUUGGGUUCAGGUAGGAGUAUUCGGGGGGGUUGCAUGGAGGACACAAACAGUUUAGGACGGUGCCGUGCGUGGUCAGGUCUCGCUGCUGUGACAAUGUUCCAUUCAAGCCAAGAUAUUUCCACAGUACUGGACAUUGAAUUGAGCCACUCACGACUUCAUCUGGGACACAAAGGACAAGACAAAACGUGAAAGACAGCUUUAAGGACUUCAACACAAAAUGUGUGCAUCCUUUCUAACGGCCACUGGGGGGCAGUAGAGCCUCCAGCUGCUUGACCAUCGUGUCAAUUAAGCCACGAAGAAGAACAAACGGUAUGACGUCAUAUGCAACCCAGCCCGUGCAAGCUACAUUUUUCCAGCACAAAAGUCGCUUUCUUAAACUGAAACCCAAUUUUCUACAUUAAAAUAUUAAUGACAUUUUGGAAAAUGGUAAAAAUGAUAAACAGCCUGAAAUUAUUAUCUCUAUUGGAGAAAUAAAGUUCUUUUAAACAAGCCCAGUUUUUAUUUAAUGCAUUUACUUAUAUAUAUUUUUAUUUUAAUCUCAUUUGUAUUGUGUCUUAUUGUUCCAGGUCUGCUCGGUAUGAGCAUUGUAUUUAAUUUGAUGUAUUUUAUAUUCCUAUGUAAUUGUUGAACUUGCUAUAAAAUAUUGAAUGGUGUUGUGUUGAAAGUGCCUUGAUGUGUGUGUGCAUUGUAUAUGUAUGUUCAAUUAUUACAAAAACACAAACAAUUGAAAAUAAAACAAAAGUGAUAGGUCAUUGUUUUUUGUCCUUUUAAAAGAGUGUUUUAAACGCUUAGACCCUACAAUAUCACUUGUUUUUGUGUAUUUGUUUCUAAUUUAUUAUGUGUGUAUUAUAAUAAAGCUGCUUCA